GGGGUUGUGGCUCAGUGGUAGAGCGCUUGCCUAGCAUGUGUGAGGCACGGGGUUUGACUCUCAGCACCACCU
rnacentral:tRNA from 1 species